rnacentral:tRNA from 1 species
GCGGGUGUAGCUCAGUGGUAGAGCGUCUCGUUGCCAACGAGAAGGCCGAGGGUUCAAGUCCCUUCACCCGCU